rnacentral:rRNA from 1 species
UAGAGUUUGAUCCUGGCUCAGGAUGAACGCUGGCGGCGUGCCUAAUACAUGCAAGUCGAACGCACAGCGAAAGGUGCUUGCACCUUUCAAGUGAGUGGCGAACGGGUGAGUAACACGUGGAUAACCUACCUCAAGGUUGGGGAUAACAUUUGGAAACAGAUGCUAAUACCGAAUAAAACUUAGUAUCGCAUGAUACCAGGUUAAAAGGCGCUACGGCGUCACCUAGAGAUGGAUCCGCGGUGCAUUAGUUAGUUGGUGGGGUAAAGGCUUACCAAGACAAUGAUGCAUAGCCGAGUUGAGAGACUGAUCGGCCACAUUGGGACUGAGACACGGCCCAAACUCCUACGGGAGGCUGCAGUAGGGAAUCUUCCACAAUGGGCGAAAGCCUGAUGGAGCAACGCCGCGUGUGUGAUGAAGGCUUUCGGGUCGUAAAGCACUGUUGUAUGGGAAGAACAGCUAGAGUAGGGAAUGACUUUAGUUUGACGGUACCAUACCAGAAAGGGACGGCUAAAUACGUGCCAGCAGCCGCGGUAAUACGUAUGUCCCGAGCGUUAUCCGGAUUUAUUGGGCGUAAAGCGAGCGCAGACGGUUAAUUAAGUCUGAUGUGAAAGCCCGGAGCUCAACCCCGGAAAGGCAUUGGAAACUGGUUAACUUGAGUGCAGUAGAGGUAAGUGGAACUCCAUGUGUAGCGGUGGAAUGCGUAGAUAUAUGGAAGAACACCAGCGGCGAAGGCGGCUUACUGGACUGUAACUGACGUUGAGGCUCGAAAGUGUGGGUAGCAAACAGGAUUAGAUACCCUGGUAGUCCACACCGUAAACGAUGAACACUAGGUGUUAGGAGGUUUCUGCCUCUUAGUGCCGAAGCUAACGCAUUAAGUGUUCCGCCUGGGGAGUACGACCGCAAGGUUGA